rnacentral:siRNA from 1 species
GGUAAGGUCCGUCACUGGAAUGAC